rnacentral:rRNA from 1 species
CCUACGGGUGGCAGCAGUGAGGAAUAUUGGUCAAUGGGCGCGAGCCUGAACCAGCCAAGUCGCGUGAAGGAUGACUGCCCUACGGGUUGUAAACUUCUUUUAUAAAGGAAUAAAGUGAGGCUCGGGUGCCUUUUUGUGUGUACUUUAUGAAUAAGGAUCGGCUAACUCCGUGCCAGCAGCCGCGGUAAUACGGAGGAUCCGAGCGUUAUCCGGAUUUAUUGGGUUUAAAGGGAGCGUAGAUGGGUUGUUAAGUCAGUUGUGAAAGUUUGGGGCUCAACCGUAAAAUUGCAAUUGAUACUGGCAGCCUUGAGUACAGUUGAGGUAGGCGGAAUUCGUGGUGUAGCGGUGAAAUGCUUAGAUAUCACGAAGAACUCCGAUUGCGAAGGCAGCUUACUAAACUGCAACUGACAUUGAUGCUCGAAAGUGUGGGUAUCAAACAGGAUUAGAUACCCCUGUAGUC